rnacentral:rRNA from 1 species
UCAAGCGUAAUUAAGGGCAUCUCGAGAAUGCCUAGGCUCUAAGAGGCGAUGAAGGACGUGAUACACUGCGAUAAGCUGCGGUUAGCUGUGAUUAAGCUUUGACCCGCAGAUUUCCGAAUGGGGAAACCCACCACAUCUGUGGUAUCUGCAACUGAAUACAUAGGUUGUAGAAGCAAACCCGGGGAACUGAAACAUCUUAGUACCCGGAGGAAAGGACAUCAACCGAGACUCCGUUAGUAGUGGCGAGCGAACGCGGAUCAGGCCAGUGGUCAUUUUGUAAGAACUAGAAUUGUCUGGAAAGGCAAGCCAAAGUGGGUGAUAGCCCCGUAUAGGUAGAA